GGGUUGUGAGGUUAAGCGACUAAGCGUACACGGUGGAUGCCCUGGCAGUCAGAGGCGAUGAAGGACGUGCUAAUCUGCGUAAAGCGACGGUAAGGUGAUAUGAACCGCUACAGCCGUCGAUGUCCGAAUGGGGAAACCCGGUGCACUCAGUGCAUCAUUGCAGCAUGAAUACAUAGUGCUGCAAGGCGAACCGGGGGAACUGAAACAUCUAAGUACCCCGAGGAAAAGAAAUCAACCGAGAUUCCCCCAGUAGCGGCGAGCGAACGGGGAGCAGCCCAGAGCCUGAAUCAGCUUGUGUGUUAGUGGAAGCGUCUGGAAAGUCGCAGGGUACAGGGUGAUACUCCCGUACACAAAAACACACAGGCUGUGAGCUCGAUGAGUAAGGCGGGACACGUGGUAUCCUGUCUGAAUAUGGGGGGACCAUCCUCCAAGGCUAAAUACUCCUGACUGACCGAUAGUGAACCAGUACCGUGAGGGAAAGGCGAAAAGAACCCCGGCGAGGGGAGUGAAACAGAACCUGAAACCGUGUACGUACAAGCAGUGGGAGCCUCUUUAUGGGGUGACUGCGUACCUUUUGUAUAAUGGGUCAGCGACUUAUAUUCUGUAGCAAGGUUAACCGUAUAGGGGAGCCGCAGGGAAACCGAGUCUUAACUGGGCGUUAAGUUGCAGGGUAUAGACCCGAAACCCGGUGAUCUAGCCAUGGGCAGGUUGAAGGUUGGGUAACACUAACUGGAGGACCGAACCGACUAAUGUUGAAAAAUUAGCGGAUGACCUGUGGCUGGGGGUGAAAGGCCAAUCAAACCGGGAGAUAGCUGGUUCUCCCCGAAAGCUAUUUAGGUAGCGCCUCGUGAACUCAUCUUCGGGGGUAGAGCACUGUUUCGGCUAGGGGGCCAUCCCGGCUUACCAACCCGAUGCAAACUGCGAAUACCGAAGAAUGUUAUCACGGGAGACACACGGCGGGUGCUAACGUCCGUCGUGAAGAGGGAAACAACCCAGACCGCCAGCUAAGGUCCCAAAGUCAUGGUUAAGUGGGAAACGAUGUGGGAAGGCACAGACAGCCAGGAUGUUGGCUUAGAAGCAGCCAUCAUUUAAAGAAAGCGUAAUAGCUCACUGGUCGAGUCGGCCUGCGCGGAAGAUGUAACGGGGCUAAACCAUGCACCGAAGCUGCGGCAGCGACACUAUGUGUUGUUGGGUAGGGGAGCGUUCUGUAAGCCGUCGAAGGUGUGCUGUGAGGCAUGCUGGAGGUAUCAGAAGUGCGAAUGCUGACAUAAGUAACGAUAAAGCGGGUGAAAAGCCCGCUCGCCGGAAGACCAAGGGUUCCUGUUCAACGUUAAUCGGAGCAGGGUGAGUCGACCCCUAAGGCGAGGCCGAAAGGCGUAGUCGAUGGGAAACAGGUUAAUAUUCCUGUACUUGGUGUUACUGCGAAGGGGGGACGGAGAAGGCUAUAUC
rnacentral:rRNA from 1 species